rnacentral:rRNA from 1 species
UGGGGAAUAUUGCGCAAUGGGGGGAAUCCUGACGCAGCCAUGCCGCGUGAAUGAAGAAGGCCUUCGGGUUGUAAAGUUCUUUCGGUAUUGAGGAAGGUUGAUGUGUUAAUAGCACAUCAAAUUGACGUUAAAUACAGAAGAAGCACCGGCUAACUCCGUGCCAGCAGCCGCGGUAAUACGGAGGGUGCGAGCGUUAAUCGGAAUAACUGGGCGUAAAGGGCACGCAGGCGGUUAUUUAAGUGAGGUGUGAAAGCCCUGGGCUUAACCUAGGAAUUGCAUUUCAGACUGGGUAACUAGAGUACUUUAGGGAGGGGUAGAAUUCCACGUGUAGCGGUGAAAUGCGUAGAGAUGUGGAGGAAUACCGAAGGCGAAGGCAGCCCCUUGGGAAUGUACUGACGCUCAUGUGCGAAAGCGUGGGGAGCAAACAGGAUUAGAUACCCUGGUAGUCCACGCUGUAAACGCUGUCGAUUUGGGGAUUGGGCUUAGAGCUUGGUGCCCGUAGCUAACGUGAUAAAUCGACCGCCUGGGGAGUACGGCCGCAAGGUUA